GUGCUCGCUUUGGCAGCACAUAUACUAAAAUUGGAACAAUACAGAGAAGAUGAGCAUGGCCUCUGUGCAAGGAUGACACGCAAAUUCGUGAAGCGUUCCUUAUUUUU